rnacentral:lncRNA from 1 species
UUUGAACGUAUUAUUGUAGCUUUAUUUGAAUAAUUAGUCUCGAUGUAUUAUAUUUUGAAACUUUAAAUGUAUUAUUUUAGCUUUAUUUAAAUUUUAUUCAAUUUUAAAUUUAAUUGGUAACAAAAUUAUUUUUAUAUUAGAUUUUUUUAUUUCACUAGUUGGAGAGAACUAAAAAUUUUUAAUUCGAAAAUUUUGGCUACCCCUAGAGCCUAUUACAUCAUAGCAUAAAGUUUUUUCGACAAUGACAUGUAGCUUUGAAUUUAUCACUUCAAGAGGAAAUCAAACACCUAAGGCGCCCAAUUGGGAUGGAACCUCGUCGAGUCAGCUUCAAUGUGGUUCAAUCCGAACCAUCAGCAAGCCAAAGUGCCCAUGCUACUGAUGAUCAUCAUGACAAACCAGAGCCUAAGGAGCCGAAAGGAAAGUAAAAAGUGACGGUUGAUUUGCUUAUUGAGUUUAAAAUAUAAAGCCAAGGAUUCCCCUAUCUUACAUGUAUG